UACGGAGGAUCCAAGCGUUAUCCGGAUUUAUUGGGUUUAAAGGGUGCGUAGGCGGUUUAGUAAGUUAGAGGUGAAAUCCCGGGGCUCAACUCCGGAACUGCCUCUGAUACUGCUAAGCUAGAGAAUAGUUGCUGUGGGCGGAAUGUAUGGUGUAGCGGUGAAAUGCUUAGAGAUCAUACAGAACACCGAUUGCGAAGGCAGCUCACAAAGCUAUAUCUGACGCUGAGGCACGAAAGCGUGGGGAGCAAAC
rnacentral:rRNA from 1 species